GAUGAACGCUGGCGGCGUGCCUAAUACAUGCAAGUCGAGCGAACAGACGAGGAGCUUGCUCCUCUGACGUUAGCGGCGGACGGGUGAGUAACACGUGGAUAACCUACCUAUAAGACUGGGAUAACUUCGGGAAACCGGAGCUAAUGCCGGAUAAUAUAUUGAACCGCAUGGUUCAAUAGUGAAAGACGGUUUUGCUGUCACUUAUAGAUGGAUCCGCGCCGCAUUAGCUAGUUGGUAAGGUAACGGCAUACCAAGGCAACGAUGCGUAGCCGACCUGAGAGGGUGAUCAGCCACACUGGGACUGAGACACGGUCCAGACUCCUACGGGAGGCAGCAGUAGGGAAUCUUCCGCAAGGGGCGAAAGCUUGACGGAGCAACGCCGCGUGGGUGAUGAAGGUCUUCGGAUCGUAAAACUCUGUUAUUAGGGAAGAGCAAAUGUGUAAGUAACUAUGCACGUCUUGACGGUACCUAAUCAGAAAGCCACGGCUAACUACGUG
rnacentral:rRNA from 1 species